CAGCCGCCGCGGGAAUACGGAGGGGGCUAGCGUUGUUCGGAAUUACUGGGCGUAAAGCGCACGUAGGCGGCUUGGUAAGUUAGAGGUGAAAGCCUGGAGCUCAACUCCAGAAUUGCCUUUAAGACUGCCGAGCUAGCAGGUGAGAGAGGUAAGUGGAAUUCCGAGUGUAGAGGUGAAAUUCGUAGAUAUUCGGAAGAACACCAGUGGCGAAGGCGGCUUACUGGCUCAUACUGGACGCUGAGGUGCGAAAGCGUGGGGAGCAAACAGGAUUAGAGACCCGAGUAGUCCCUGUCUCUUAUAC
rnacentral:rRNA from 1 species